rnacentral:rRNA from 1 species
GUGAGUCAUCGAAUCUUUGAACGCACCUUGCGCUCCUUGGUAUUCCGAGGAGCAUGCCUGUUUGAGUGUCAUUAAAUCAUCAACCCCGAGACGUUUGUUCGCCUUGUGGGCUUGGACUUGGAGCAUGCCAGCGAAGGUCGGCUCCUCUCAAAAUCAUCAAGCGGGAUUUCAGCCUCUGGGUUCCAGAAGUCGAGUGUGAUAAUCAUGUUGCACCGUUGUUUGGAACCCUUCAAGGGCCUCGCUUACAAUCGUCCUUGGACAAACAUCAUUUGAAUUUGACCUCAAAUCAGGUAGGACUACCUGCUGAACUUAAGCAUAUCAAUAAGCGGAGG